AUUGAACGCUGGCGGCAGGCCUAACACAUGCAAGUCGAGCGGCAGAGGAAGGAAGCUUGCUUUCUUGCCGGCGAGCGGCGGACGGGUGAGUAAGGUAUGGGGAUCUGGCCGAAGGCGGGGGAUAACCACUGGAAACGGUGGCUAAUACCGCAUAAUCUCUAAGGAGCAAAGUGGGGGACCGUUCAGGCCUCACACCUUCGGAUGAACCCAUAUGAGAUUAGCUAGUAGGUGGGGUAACGGCUCACCUAGGCGACGAUCUCUAGCUGGUCUGAGAGGAUGAUCAGCCACACUGGGACUGAGACACGGCCCAGACUCCUACGGGAGGCAGCAGUGGGGAAUAUUGCACAAUGGGCGCAAGCCUGAUGCAGCCAUGCCGCGUGUAUGAAGAAGGCCUUCGGGUUGUAAAGUACUUUCAGUCGUGAGGAAGGUGUUAAGGUUAAUAACCUUAGCAAUUGACGUUAGCGACAGAAGAAGCACCGGCUAACUCCGUGCCAGCCGCCGCAGUAA
rnacentral:rRNA from 1 species